CAGCAGCCGCGGUAAUACGAAGGGGGCUAGCGUUGCUCGGAAUCACUGGGCGUAAAGGGUGCGUAGGCGGGUCUUUAAGUCAGGGGUGAAAUCCUGGAGCUCAACUCCAGAACUGCCUUUGAUACUGAAGAUCUUGAGUUCGGGAGAGGUGAGUGGAACUGCGAGUGUAGAGGUGAAAUUCGUAGAUAUUCGCAAGAACACCAGUGGCGAAGGCGGCUCACUGGCCCGAUACUGACGCUGAGGCACGAAAGCGUGGGGAGCAAACAGGAUUAGAGACCCCCGAGUCCCUGUCUCUUAUACA
rnacentral:rRNA from 1 species